rnacentral:rRNA from 1 species
GAGCACGUAGGGGGGUUUGUAAGUCAGAUGUGAAAGCCUUCUGUUCAACGGAAGAAUUGCAUCUGAAACUGCGAGUCUUGAGUGUAGGAGGGGAGAAUGGAACUUCUGGUGGAGCGGUGAAAUGCGUAGAUAUCAGAAGGAACGCCGGCGGCGAAAGCGAUUCUCUGGCCUAUUACUGACACUCAGUGUACGAAAGCUAGGGGAGCAAACGGGAUUAGAUACCCCGGUAGUCCUAGCCGUAAACGAUGGGCACUAAGUAGAGGGGUUUUA